GCUGCAUGGCUGUCGUCAGCUCGUGUCGUGAGAUGUUGGGUUAAGUCCCGCAACGAGCGCAACCCUUUGUCUUUAAUUGCCAUCAUUAAGUUUGGGCACUUUUAAAGAGACUGCCGGUGUUAAACCGGAGAAGUGGGGAUGACGUCAAGUCCUCAUGGCCUUUAUGCUUAGGGCUACACACGUGCUACAAUGGGCGGUACAAAGAGACGCUAACUCGCGAGAGUACGCCAAUCUCAAAAAGCCGUCCUAAGUUCGGAUUGAAGUCUGCAACUCGACUUCAUGAAGCUGGAAUCGCUAGUAAUCGCGGAUCAGCAUGUCGCGGUGAAUACGUUCCCGGGCCUU
rnacentral:rRNA from 1 species